GACGAGCGCUGGCGGCGUGCUUAACACAUGCAAGUCGGACGGAAAGGCCCUGCUUUUGUGGGGUGCUCGAGUGGCGAACGGGUGAGUAACACGUGAGUAACCUGCCCUUGACUUUGGGAUAACUUCAGGAAACUGGGGCUAAUACCGGAUAGGAGCUCCUGCUGCAUGGUGGGGGUUGGAAAGUUUCGGCGGUUGGGGAUGGACUCGCGGCUUAUCAGCUUGUUGGUGGGGUAGUGGCUUACCAAGGCUUUGACGGGUAGCCGGCCUGAGAGGGUGACCGGCGACAUUGGGACUGAGAUACGGCCCAGACUCCUACGGGAGGCAGCAGUGGGGAAUAUUGCACAAUGGGCGGAAGCGUGAUGCAGCAACGCCGCGUGCGGGAUGACGGCCUUCGGGUUGUAAACCGCUUUCGCCUGUGACGAAGCGUGAGUGACGGUAAUGGGUAAAGAAGCACCGGCUAACUACGUG
rnacentral:rRNA from 1 species